rnacentral:lncRNA from 1 species
UUAAAAGAGUGUGACACCUCUUUCCUCUCUCUUUUUCCUUCGCAAUUGAUGCCUGCUCCCCUUCCCCUUCCACCGUGUUUGAAAGCUUCCUGAGGUCCUCACCAGAAGCAGAUGCUGGUGCCACACUUCCUGUACAGCCUGCAGAACUGUGAAGAAACUGAGGCUGAGUAUUCAAGGUCAACUGCCAAGUGAGAGCACAAGGAUUCAAACCCAGGCAAUCUGAUUACACCCUGGAGAUCCAGCAGUAGGCCAAGCCACUUCUCCUGUAGUUUAUGGUCUACUGUCUGAGGCAGACUUUAGACACAUAAGCAGUACACAUGUAGGUGCUCCAAAGGAAAAUUAGAGGAUAUUUUUGGAGAAUAUAACAUGGGGUCCUAAAAUGAGCUGUUAGGGAAGAAUGGAGACUAAACGACACUGGUUGAGAAUUAAUGAUGAGUAGGAGUUUGUCAGGCAAAGAGACCGGGAGUGUUUCAAGCAGGGGAGAGGUAUGUGCAGAGGUCCCAAGGCAGAAAAGAGUUUGUUCUAGUAAUGGAAAUGAAAGGAAAUGAGUGUAUCUGAAAUGUACUGAGCAAUAGAGAGAAUGAAGGGAGAUGUACUUGGACAUGUAGGCGGGGCCUUGCAAAACUUAUGAGGAAUUUUGUAUUUCAUCCUAAGUGCAGUGAAAAGUAACUGGAGAGUUUUACUAAAGACAAACAUGGUCCUGUUUGCAUUUUAAAGUCUUUGGGUUGCUGUUUGGAAAACAGACUGGAGGAUGAAAAGAGACAAAUUUGGGGGUCAUUGCAGGAGUCCCAAGUGGCUGAUGAUGAUGAUUAGACUACUGGUGGCAGUAAAAUUGGGAGAAAGAGAGUGUAUGUGAAGUGUAUUGUGGAAGUAGAUUUGAUGUACAAGACUUGGUGGUGGACUGGAUGAAGAGAGAGGCGCUCCAGACACCUCAUUACAGGCUUUCCUUAAACCACUGCUCAACUUCCUCCCACUUCUCCUGUGUCUGAUGGGGACCAGUCCUUUUCAGAGUUAACACCAGUGUAAGUAUUUCAUGAAAGAGAGGAGGACACCACAGGCUUAAUAGAUAAUUGUUAGUGAUCUUAUGUUUAAGAAGAUAGUAGUGAUGGAUAGGAUGGGGGAAAUGGAGAAAUAGAUGGAAGACAGCUGUCUACCCCCAUAGAACAGCUGUGGGACCAUCUGUUUGUCAAAUUUCCCAUACAAAAUGCUCCAGGCUGUGUACCCUGGGUGGUUAUCACGCUGCUGGAGAGCAUUAACAGUAAUGUCAGUGACCUGAGAGUUCAGUUUACGAAUAGUAUCUGAACACGGCCAUUUUGAUGGAAUUCUUUCUCUUUCAUUUUUAUAAGAGAAAAUAAAAAGAAUUAUCUUAAAAAAUAAAGAGUUCUUCAGGAGGCUAAGGCAAGAGGAUCACUGGAGCCCAGGAGUUCAAGAUCAGCCUGUGCAACGUAGCAAGACCCUGUCUCAAAAUAAAUUAAUAAAUAUUAAAUACAUUAAAUUGAAGAGUUCAUACAUAUACAGUCAUGCAUUGCUUAACGAUGGAGAUAUGUUUGAGAAAUGAACCCUUAGGCGAACAUCAGAGAGUGUUCUUAAACAAACCUAGAUGGUAUAGCCUACUACACACCUACGUUAUAUGGCAAAGCCAAUUGCUGCUCCUAGGGUAGAAACCUACACAGCAUGUUACUGUACUGAAUACCCUGGGCAAUUGUAGGAUGAUGAUAAGUACAGUUGACCCUUGAGCAACACAGGUUUGAACUGUAUGGGUUCACUUAGGCACAUUUGUUUUCAGUUAUAGUUACACCACAUGUGCCUGCCUCUCCUGCUUCCCCUUCUGUUUCCUCCCCUCUUCUGCCUCUGCCACCCCUAAGACAGCAAAAUCAACCCCUCCUCUUCCUCCUACGCAACAUGAAGACUGCUCAACAUGAAGAUGACAAGGGUGAAAACCUUUGUAAUGAUUCACUUCCACUUAAUGAAUAGUAAAUAUGUUUUCCUUGUGAUUUUCUUUUCUCUAACUUACUUUAUUGUAAAAAUACAGUUUAUAAUGUAUAUAGUGUACAAGAUAUUAAUAUGUGUUAAUCAACUGUUUAUGUUAUUGGUAAGGCUUCCAGUCAACAGUAAGUUAUUAAUAGCUAAGUUUUGGGGGAGUCAAAAGUUAUACGCACAUUUUAAGCUUUGUUGGGGGUUGGCGCCCCAGCGCCUGCAUUUUUCAACGGCCAACUUAUUUGUGUAUCUCAACACAUCUAAACAUAGAAAAGUACAGUGAAAAUAUGGUAUUAUAAUCUUCUAUGACCACCAUUGUGUGGUCCUUUGUUUACUAUCACAUGUAGCACAUAACUGUAUUAUUAUGUAUACAUUGAUUUAAAUACUGAUAAUUUAUAAAAAUUUAAAAAUCAAACAUCAGGUCCACGACAACAAAAAAUUAAGCAAUUAAGCCCAGUAUUAAUGAUUACAGAUUAGAGAGAUCAUGUUCCAAAACAUAUUUUUGGCACUCAUUCUGGCUGUGUAUAUUUUACUUGAAGGUAAUCAUUUCUGAGACUGGCUUAUUCAGCAAGCUGCUGUUAAAGUUAUUUUGCAAAAGAUUUAGACUCAGUCUCUUUCUACUCACACAUAUAGCAAUAAACUACUUCCCAGUGGCCUCACUGGGAGUCUCUAUGUCCGUAUCAUGGAAUUGUGUGUCUGAGUUUGGAAUUGAUUAACUAGAAUUUAUACAAAGAAGAGUGGCCAAAAUAGUGAGGGUAUUCUAAACUUUUUAAUAUUAAGAACAGAUGAAAGAAUGGGGGAUAUUGAGCCUGGAGAAAGCAGCUUAGGAUAACUAUCUUAACUAUUAAUAUUUUAAUAUAUACUAGAAAAGCUGUAAUGUGGAAGGAUUGAAUUUACUUUCUGUGGCUAAAAAGGGCAAAAUAAACACCGAUGAAUAAAGGACAAUGGGAAGCAAAUUUAUGUUCAAUAUAAGACAGGCUUUGCCAAACUGAACAGUUCAAAAAUCAAACAGUCUCAGAAGGUAGUAGCUGGUUCAUUGGCAUGAGUGGUAUCUUCAGAGACUAAAUGACCAUUUUUGCUUAAUGUUUUAUAAAGUUUGAUCAGUCAGUAAGCAUUUGGCUGAAGAUUCUAAAGUCUCAUUCUAUUUCUAAGAUUCCAUUGUAGAGUUGAUUAUGUCUCCAGUAUCCAUUCUCACCACUCUAAAAGCCAUAAAUUUCCAUUUGAUGACUUGUGUAGUUCACUGGCAUUGCAUUGUGGAGUGGUGGGAAGGGGUUUGAAGCUAGGCUAAGUAUUUGGUGCAUUUCAUUUCUCUGGCUACAGUGAUUGGGUUGGGGUGAGCAUGUAAUUUAAUCCAGUUCUGAUGUCUUGAGAAUUCUGGGACUAAUAUGCUUUCUUCCCAUGAGUUAUGCAUUGAGAAGUAUGUAGUCUCUACAGUAACUGGUAGUCAUCUUAGAACCACAGGAGAGAUCUUGCCUAGAAUGAAGUCAGCAACAAGGAAACCAAGCAAAGAAUUGAAGAGAGAAAGACCUGGACCUGAUCACAUCACGAGACUAGUAGAUCCAGCCUUUUCGAAGCCAGGUGUCCCAAUGGACUUUUCGAUUACACGGGUCAGUGGAGUCUCCUUUUGAUUUAAGCUGUUUAAGUGUAUUUUUCACACAUGCAAAUAAAUUAUUCCUG